UACGGUCUCAGUUCAGAUUGCAGGCUGCAACUCGCCUGCAUGAAGUUGGAAUUGCUAGUAAUCGCGAAUCAGAAUGUCGCGGUGAAUACGUUCCCGGGCCUUGUACACACCGCCCGUCACACCAUGGGAGUCGGAAAUGCCCGAAGCCGGUGACCCAACCAAAAGGAGGGAGCCGUCGAAGGCAGGUCUGAUAACUGGGGUGAAGUCGUAACAAGGUACC
rnacentral:rRNA from 1 species